GACAGAGGUGCCGAGCGUUAGGCGGAAUCACUGGGCUUAAAGCGUGUGUAGGCGGAUCGUUAAGUACCUUGUGAAAUCCCACGGCUCAACCGUGGAACUGCUGGGUAUACUGGCGGUCUUGAGCCACCUAGGGGGCGAGCGGAACAAGCGGUGGAGCGGUGAAAUGCGUAGAUAUCGCUUGGAACGCCAACGGUGAAAACAGCUCGCUGGGGGGUGUGCUGACGCUGAGACACGAAAGCCAGGGGAGCGAACGGG
rnacentral:rRNA from 1 species